rnacentral:lncRNA from 1 species
AUGAUCCCUCUGUCAACAAUCUUACAAAAAACAAAUGUUGGCUAUCAAACCUCCAAGCUAUCUCACAAAAUUUCACAUCUGAUGUACAUGGAUGACCUGAAGCUGUAUGGGAAAAUGGAAACUGAAACCCAGUUUCUGACUAACACUGUCCAAAUUUUUAGCACUGAUAUCAGCAUGGAGUUUGGUUUGGACAAAUGUUUGACAGUGGCAUUGAAGAAGGGAAAAAUAAUUGAAAAUGAGGUCAUAAAUAUGCUUAAUGGCCAAACAAUAAAGUGUCACCAGCCAGAGGCCUAUAAAUAUCUGGGCAUAUUACAGCUGACCAACAUCAAGCAUGAACAUGUAAAAACUGUGGUCAGCAAAGAAUACACACAAAGGGUCAGAAAAAUUCUCAAAAGCAAGCUCAAUGGAGGCAACACCAUCAAGGCCAUAAACACCUGGGCCAUACCUGUCAUAAGAUAUACUGCUGGCAUUAUAAAUUGGACACAGGCGGAACUGGACAAUUUGGACAGAAAAACAAGAAAACUCAUGACCAUUCAUCAUUCACUGCACCCUCGCAGUGAUGUUGACCGGCUAUAUCUGCCUAAAAGAUCAGGUGGCAGAGGACUCUUACAAGUAAAACAAGCAGUCAAAGAAGAAGAACAUGCCCUGGCAGAAUAUGUAAAGCAAAGUGAAGAACCUGCUUUGAUCGAAGUCAAAAGUCAGAAACUCCUCAAAGCACAGCAGACAAAAAACCAGUACAAGAAAACUGCACUACAAACUAGAACUGACAGCUGGCACAACAAAGCGUUGCAUGGAAAGUUCCUUGACAAAAUUGAAGGAAAAGCUGAUAAGGAGAAGACCUGGCUCUGGCUCACAAAUGGGACACUGAAGAAGGAGACAGAAGGCCUGAUCCUUGCAGCCCAGGAGCAAGCCAUCAGAACAAAUGCAAUUAAGGCCAAGAUCGAAAAAUCAGCUGAUGACCCAAAAUGCAGACUUUGCAAGGAAGCUGACGAAACCAUUGAUCAUUUCCUCAGCUGCUGUAAGAAAAUCACACAAACAGACUACAAACAGAGGCAUUACCAUGUGGCCCAAAUGAUUCAUUGGAACUUAUGCCACAAGUACCACCUGCCAGCAGUAAAGAACUGGUGGGAUCACAAACCUGCAAAAGUCAUGGGAAAUGACCAUGCAAAGAUAAUGUGGUACUUUCGAAUCCAGACUGACAAAGUUCUGGAAUACAACACACCAGACCUCACAGCUGUGGAAAAGAAAAAGGUUUGUAUCAUUGAUGUCACCAUACUAGGUGACAGUCGGAUUGAUGAAAAACAACAGGAAAAACUCAGCCACUAUCAGGACCUCAAGAUCGAACUGCAAAGACUCUGGCAGAAACCAGUACAGGUGGUCCUGGUGGUAAUUGGCACACUGGGUGCUGUGCCAAAAGAUCUCAGCCGGCCUUUAGAAACAAUAAACAUUGACAAAAUUAUGAUCUGUCAACUGCAAAAGGUCACCCUACUGGAAUCUGCACGCAUCAUCCGAAAAUACAUCACACUGUCCUAA